UACGUAGGGUGCAAGCGUUAAUCGGAAUUACUGGGCGUAAAGCGUGCGCAGGCGGCUAUGCAAGUCAGAUGUGAAAUCCCCGGGCUCAACCUGGGAACUGCAUUUGUGACUGCAUGGCUAGAGUACGGUAGAGGGGGAUGGAAUUCCGCGUGUAGCAGUGAAAUGCGUAGAGAUCCGGAGGAACCCCAGAGGCGAAGGCGGCACUCUGGCUCGCAACUGACGCUCAGACACGACAGCAUGGGGAGCGAACGGG
rnacentral:rRNA from 1 species